rnacentral:rRNA from 1 species
CAGGCCUAACACAUGCAAGUCGAACGGUGGUAGCAAUACCAUAGUGGCGCACGGGUGCGUAACGCGUAACCAACCUGCCCUUGACUGGGGGAUAGCCCGCCGAAAGGCGGAUUAAUACCGCAUAAAACAGUAGCCCGACAUCGGGUAAUUGUUAAAGAUUUAUUGGUCAAGGAUGGGGUUGCGUGACAUUAGCUAGUUGGCGGGGUAACGGCCCACCAAGGCGACGAUGUCUAGGGGAGCUGAGAGGCUGGUCCCCCACACGGGCACUGAGAUACGGGCCCGACUCCUACGGGAGGCAGCAGUAGGGAAUAUUGGGCAAUGGGCGAGAGCCUGACCCAGCCAUGCCGCGUGCAGGAAGAAGGCUUUCUGAGUCGUAAACUGCUUUUGAUAGGGAAGAAUAACCUGUACGUGUACAGGGAUGACGGUACCUACAGAAUAAGCACCGUCUAACUCCGUGCCAGCAGCCGCGGUAAU